GACGAACGCUGGCGGCGUGCCUAACACAUGCAAGUCGAACGGAAAGGCCCUGCUUUCGUGGGGUGCCCGAGUGGCGAACGGGUGAGUAACACGUGAGUAACCUGCUCUUGACUUUGGGAUAACUUCAGGAAACUGGGGCUAAUACCGGAUAGGAGAUCCCGCAGCAUGGUGGGGGUUGGAAAGUUUCGGCGGGUGGGGAUGGACUCGCGGCUUAUCAGCUUGUUGGUGGGGUAGGGGCUUACCAAGGCUUUGACGGGUCCCCCGCCUGAGAGGGUGACCGGGCACCAUAGGACUGAGAUACGGAGCAGAGUCCUACAGGGGGCAGCAGUGGGAAAUAUUGCACAGUGAGCGGGAGCCUGAGGCGGCGACGCCGGGUGCGGAAUGACGGCCUGCGGGGUGUAAACCGCUGUCGCCUAUUACGAAGCGUGAGUGACGGUAAUGGGUAAAGAAGCACCGGCUAACUACGUG
rnacentral:rRNA from 1 species